rnacentral:rRNA from 1 species
UGGGGAAUAUUGCACAAUGGGCGCAAGCCUGAUGCAGCCAUGCCGCGUGUAUGAAGAAGGCCUUCGGGUUGUAAAGUACUUUCAGUCGGGAGGAAGGUGGUAAGGUUAAUAACCUUGGCAAUUGACGUUACCGACAGAAGAAGCACCGGCUAACUCCGUGCCAGCAGCCGCGGUAAUACGGAGGGUGCAAGCGUUAAUAGGAAUUACUGGGCGUAAAGCGCACGCAGGCGGUUGAUUGAGUCAGAUGUGAAAUCCCCGGGCUUAACCCGGGAAUUGCAUCUGAUACUGGUCAGCUAGAGUCUUGUAGAGGGGGGUAGAAUUCCAUGUGUAGCGGUGAAAUGCGUAGAGAUGUGGAGGAAUACCGGUGGCGAAGGCGGCCCCCUGGACAAAGACUGACGCUCAGGUGCGAAAGCGUGGGGAGCAAACAGG